UUCUGGAUUCCACAGCCAACGGUCGGCAGUGUUACGGUGGUGCUGACUUUUGGGAUGGGAGUGUAACGCAGCUUCACCAGUGACUUGCUCUGUCCGUUGGAAAACUGAAAAUGCAGAGCAAUGAACUGGACAUGUAAGUUGUGCUUGUUUGGAUGUGAAGUCAGAGGUCAGUUGCUCAAACACUACUGAUUGAAACAUGGAGGUUACAC